rnacentral:tRNA from 1 species
GUUACUUUACUUGGAGCGGAAACGAGAACUUUUCUGUUUCAAAGGUUUUUGCAAUAAUUGCUUACUUAAA